rnacentral:lncRNA from 1 species
AGAGAUCUUAAUACCAAGAAGGCCCUUCCUUCAAAUGCCUGCUCCCAGGUUUGUCUUGCUGGUGCAGCUGCGGAAUGUCUGUCCCUCCGACAUUAAAUGCCGAUGCAGAAGGGUGAGUUCCCAGGAUUCCAGCUAACUCUAACCCAAAAGGAAAAGAACAGAACGAAAGCACAUCCUACCAUAUUUAGGCUCACUGAAGUGUAACAACUGAUUCUUUAAGCCUUGGGCGUGUAAGUCUGUGUUUCUUUUUGUUGUCAAUCUAUAAUUAAUCACGAUGUAGAAUAAGAAAUUGGAGAGAAAUAGAAAGUCAUGGAAAUGAACUCAUAAUUAAGAUCAAAUUAGACAGACUUUAUUGAUUCCUAGUGUAAGCCCCAAACCAUCCACACUGCAGUUCAAGCUAAAACCUCAGUGGGA